UGAUGUGUUUAGAGAAUGAACAGACUUUUUAAAUGUUUGCUUAUUUAUUUAUUUAUUUAUUUAUUUAUUUAUUAGAAAGCCUGAUGUGGGGCUCUAUCUCACGACCCUUGAAAUCAUGACCUGAGUCGAAAUCAAGAGUCAGACACUUAACCAACUGAGCCACCAAGGUGCCCCAAGAACAGACUUUUGAUUGGAGAAAACCAGGCAGGAGAUCAUGAACAUAGAAAACAGCAUCAGCAAAGAAAGAGCUGGAGAUAUGAAAGACUCUAUGGCAAGUGAUUCAUAUAGGCACAGCUUGCAGGCAUACCAUCUCAUGAUAGCACCGGACGCUUUUUACCUUCUGACCUGAGGUUUCCAUGUUCCUGCUGAGAUGUCAGAGAUGACUCAGUGCCCACCCAAACUGGAAGUGCAGAACAAUUAAAACUCUGUGAGUAUAAUUUUGACCAAUGGAAGUUAAUGGAGGGUGACAAAGGCUAACAUCAACUAACGCAACGAACAAUUAUUGUUUUUCAUCCAGUUUCCAUAUGGAAGUUGGUUCAUAGGCCCAAAACCAACUGAUUGAAAUCAGAGCUGGAGCCCUUUAAGACAAGACCCUAUGAUGCUAUCAAAAAUAUGUAGUAAAUAUUUGUCUCAUAAUUUCACAAAAGCCCUUUUAACUUCCAAGGAAACUGUUCUCUGAGAAUAUUCAGAUUUUUAAGACUCUAGGGUAUAGAGUUUGCAUGAUAUUUGUGCUCACCCAAUCUGGAAGUGUCCUCAUGUUCCUCUGGUUAGAUUGGGAACUUAUAGAAACCAAGCAAAAAUGGAAUUUUCUCCAUUAAUCCAUUUCCUAUUGUGUCUAAUGAGUCUGAAGACCUAGCUGUGUUAUAUCCCUGGAUUCUGAGUGCAUAGGAAGAGUGGUAAAUUUAAUAGCCAACAGUCUUCAUAUUAGUUCUCUGUCCUGCAGAGUGAGGGUCAUUAUUAAAAUGCUAUAUAUCUAUGUUGAUUCUCAAUAUUGAACAGAUGACUUAGCUAGUGACACAGGAGACUGGAUAGGGAAAUAAUGGGAUAUUAUAAAUAAAGAAUUCUAGGCAAGUGGUAUAUACA
rnacentral:lncRNA from 1 species